rnacentral:rRNA from 1 species
GACGAACGCUGGCGGCGUGCUUAACACAUGCAAGUCGAACGGGCCUUGUCCCCUUUUUUUUGGGGGUGGGGUUAGUGGCGAACGGGUGAGUAACACGUGAGUAACCUGCCCCUCACUUCUGGAUAACCGCUUGAAAGGGUGGCUAAUACGGGGUGUUCUGGCCUGCUCGCAUGGGUGGGUUUGGAAAGAUUCGACCGGUUUUGGUUGUUUUGGUGGGGGAUGGGCUCGCGGCCUAUCAGCUUGUUGGUGGGGUGAUGGCCUGCCAAGGCUUUGACGGGUAGCCGGCCUGAGAGGGUGGGCGGUCACACUGGGACUGAGACACGCCCCAGACUCCUACGGGAGGCAGCAGUGGGGAAUAUUGCACAAUGGGCGCAAGCCUGAUGCAGCGACGCCGCGUGAGGGAUGGAGGCCUUCGGGUUGUGAACCUCUUUCGCCAGUGAAGAAGGUCCUGCUCUUUGUGGUGGGGUUGACGGUAGCUGGGUUAAUGAAGCGCCGGCUAACUACGU